rnacentral:lncRNA from 10 species
CACUAACAAAAACUCCAAUGGAUCCCAAUUUGCUAGAAAAUAAAGCCCCUAAUCCAAAAUGCAAUCUCCUCUUUUACAAUUUGAUGUCAAAUUUAUCGUCUUUCUAGGCCCAUUUCCUGCUUGUUUCCUCUACACAAAUCUUUAGCACUGGUUAACAACUGGAAAUAUGAAUAGAAGCUCUUGGCCCUUCAACUGUGCUGAGAUGACAAAACUGAACUCAAUAAGAUUGAGUAUAGAAGUAGCCCAAAGUCACCCAACUGAUAUAUGUCAGAUUGUGAAGAAAAAGUGGAAAAAAAGAAGCAUGUGUAUCGGAGAUACUGAACAGAGAAUAGAGUGGGUGGAGUAAGCCUCAGACUUUCUUCAAAAGAAGCAAUUUUACAUGGUGUGUAAAACCGACCUUGGACAAGAAAUGGAACACAAAGAUAAAUCAUUUGUGGUGAAUUUAAACAUGAAUCCGUGGAGCUCCUCCUUUUCUGAAAUCCUCCAUUUCUUUUAAAACAUUCUGGUAAUAAAUUGCUGUGAGUUUUUGCCAUAUCCUAUGUCCUUACUCACUGGGAACAAUUGAUGCUUGGAACCCAUUCAACGAUGGUUACAUAGAUUUGUGAAAACAGGAGCCGGCUCAGCUUUCCUUUAAGAGUUGUUUAGUGAAGUUAUGCUCAUUGACUUUUUACUCUUAUUAUUAAAAUUCCUCAUUAAACCUGCCUGAAAA